AUUGAACGCUGGCGGCAGGCCUAACACAUGCCAGUCGAGCGGAUGAAGGGAGCUUGCUCCUGGAUUCCGCGGCGGACGGGUGAGUAAUGCCUAGGAAUCUGCCUGGUAGUGGGGGAUAACGUCCGGAAACGGGCGCUAAUACCGCAUACGUCCUGAGGGAGAAAGUGGGGGAUCUUCGGACCUCACGCUAUCAGCUGAGCCUAGGUCGGAUUAGCUAGUUGGUGGGGUAAAGGCCUACCAAGGCGACGAUCCGUAACUGGUCUGAGAGGAUGAUCAGUCACACUGGAACUGAGACACGGUCCAGACUCCUACGGGAGGCAGCAGUGGGGAAUAUUGGACAAUGGGCGAAAGCCUGAUCCAGCCAUGCCGCGUGUGUGAAGAAGGUCUUCGGAUUGUAAAGCACUUUAAGUUGGGAGGAAGGGCAGUAAGUUAAUACCUGGCUGUUUUGACGUUACCAACAGAAUAAGCACCGGCUAACUUCGUG
rnacentral:rRNA from 1 species